rnacentral:rRNA from 1 species
UCCUUAGAUGUUCUGGGCCGCACGCGCGCUACACUGAUGCAUUCAACGAGUUCCUACCUUGGCCGAGAGGCCUGGGCAAUCUUUUGAACUUGCAUCGUGAUAGGGAUAGAUUAUUGCAAUUAUUAAUCUUGAACGAGGAAUUCCUAGUAAACGCAGAUCAUCAAUCUGCAUUGAUUACGUCCCUGCCCUUUGUACACACCGCCCGUCGCACCUACCGAUUGAAUGGUCCGGUGAAGCCUCGGGAUUGUGGCUAGUUUCCUUCAUUGGAAGUUAGCCGCGAGAACUUGUCUAAACCUUAUCAUUUAGAGGAAGGUGAAGUCGUAACA